AUGGCCUCCUCUGCAACUCCCUCCACUCUCAUGCUCUCCCACGGCGUCUUCCUCCAAGAGGGUGUUGUGGAAAGUCGUGUUGUUGUUACCCCAACUAAGCCCAAGAAAGGCAAAGCUGCAUUGCCUCAAGAGUGCCAAAAGGAGGUCUAAGAGAUUCUUGGAAAUUCAAAAAUUGAGGGAAAACAAGAAAGAGUAUGAUUUAAAAACAGCAAUAUCAUUGCUCAAGCAAAUGGCAAGCACAAAGUUUGUCGAAACAGCUGAAGCUCAUUUCCGUCUCAACAUUGACCUAUAAUGCAAUGAUCAACAGCUGAGGGCAACAGUGAAUUUACCCAAGGGAACUGGACAGACGGUUAGAGUGGCUGUUCUCACUCAAGCAAUUUUUCUGCUUAAGUGGUGAUGUCUAUGGAUGACAGUGUGGUUUAGGGGUUCUUUAAUUUAAGGGUUCUUUAAUUUUGAAGUUCUAUUUCUUUCUUUCUGCUCUUCCAAAGCUCAAUGGAAACCAAAAGAGCCUCCGAAGGAUGGUAUCAACUCUUUCAAUCAUUUUCUACUGCGUCCGGUGAAGUAAAUGUUGCAUCUGAUUUAAAGAAAUGUUGCAUCUUGUUGAAGACCGAAAGAAGCCUUUCUGUGCAGCUAUUGCUAUCUUCUCAUGGUCUGCAUGUUGUAUCUAUUGUACAUAUGUUCAUGUCAGACGUAAACGAGGCCUAGAUUGACUAAAUGUGACCAAGUUUUGAGAAUUAACUUUCAAAAGGUUAUAAACAUGAAGGAAGGAAACUCCCAGAAAUCAUCCAAAGUUUUGGAGCUCAGCAUCAUCGAGAAACUUAACUAGUUGCUGUCUUGGCAUCAACUAUGAGGCAUUUGGCUCAAUUGCCUGUGUGUAUGUCAUUCAUGGUUCUGCUUUGCAUUGUUCGGAAAGGCUUUUUUGGUUUUCAUGGUUAAUUGAGAGCCGUCAAAAUAGUGUAAUUUUUUUUUUUAAAAUUCUGAUGCUUCACGUUUAUUUCAGUACUAAUUUUACCCUCUAUUAUAUCACCUUUAGUUUCUUUUUCACGCAGUUCAUUCAGAGUCUGAGCUAGAUAGAUAAUGCCAUUGAGACCUGGGUUUUCUCUUUUCCAUGUAAAUUGUAAAAGUAAAUUUCUAGAUUGUAUACUGUUGUGACAUGUGGUGUUUAUCCAACUCGGGUUGUGUCUCUUUUCAGUUUCAA